rnacentral:rRNA from 1 species
AGUGAACGCUGGCGGUAGGCCUAACACAUGCAAGUCGAACGGCAGCACAGUAAGAGCUUGCUCUUACGGGUGGCGAGUGGCGGACGGGUGAGGAAUACAUCGGAAUCUACUUUUUCGUGGGGGAUAACGUAGGGAAACUUACGCUAAUACCGCAUACGACCUACGGGUGAAAGCAGGGGAUCUUCGGACCUUGCGCGAAUGAAUGAGCCGAUGUCGGAUUAGCUAGUUGGCGGGGUAAAGGCCCACCCUGGCGACGAUCCGUAGCUGGUCUGAGAGAAUGGUCGGCCACACGGGAACGGAGACACCGUCCAGACUCCUGCGGGAGGCAGCAGUGUGGAACGUUGGACAGUGGGCGAGAGCCUGACCCAGCCAUACGGCGUGGGUGAAGAAGGCGUCGGGGUUGGGAAGCCCUUUUUUUGGGAAAGAAAAGCAGCAGGUUGAUACGCAGCUGGUGUGACGGUACCCAAAGAAUAAGCACCGGCUAACUACGUG